rnacentral:misc_RNA from 1 species
ACAAAAAGCAAAUUCGUUUAGUUCCUUUAUUCCAAUAGUCAAAUUUUCAAAUAACGUUAGUUCUUAACUUGUUAAAAACGAGAGAUUUCUCUGGAAAUUAUAUAUUUAAACAAUUCGAUAGUAUUAUAAAUUAAUUAUAUAUCGCAAUAAUCACUGUUUCGUCUAUUGAACAUAUAUAAAUAAAUAGAUAUAUUUUUUACCUUGGACGUGAUCAAACCUGUUCUGUCUUUAGUAGAGAAUGUUUGUCCAAAGAAAGACAAAAUUAAAGCCAAAAUCGAAAAAGAAGUUAAAACCCGAGUGGGAUUCAACAAUUAACGAUUUGAACGUCUACAAAGCCAGUACAGAUGAUAUUAUUCGUCGAAAAGAGUCUCAUAAAUCAAAGAACGCAGAAUCCGCAAAAUUUGAUCUUUUAUCACUAAGAUUAAGAGAAUUAAAUGAACAGAAAAAUUCGAAAAAAGAACAAGAUAAAUCAAAGAAAUCAGCAAUACAUAAAGUAUACUUGGAUAACAGUCAGCUUUCCGAAACCUUGGCCGAGUGUGAUAAGACUUUGGCGGUUGUUAAAGACAUGUUCGGAGAUGAUCCAAAGAAAUUUUUUGGUAUACCAAGCGUUACAGUUGCGCCUAAACGGAUUUUAAAAAAUGACCAGUCUCUCUUACCAGAUGGAACGGAAGUAGUAGAAUUAUCAAAAUUAGACGCUCUUAGCGAUUCAAUAAUGAGUAAGAACUCUUUGGAUAGAUUGAAUGAUAAUGUAAGCAAUGAUUUGGAACAAUAUAAACAUAUAUUAAAUGAAAAUCGAGCGAAAGCUGAUAUGGCCAGUGAAGAUUGGGAGACGAGCUUCUCCAGUCUAAACAGAUCAACGUUAAUCAAUACUGUUAAUGAUACAGCCGUUGUUGAAAGUUCUGUUAAGAGCGAGGGAAGAGAGGAUACUAGAGAGGAGAUCAAAGAGACGGCCGAGAACGCUUCGUGUACUUGUGAAUGUCAUAAGAAUUCUAAAGAGGAAAUUUUAAUGCUCGUUGAUGCCGUAACGAAAUUAGCUCAAUGCGCCAGAGAAAGUGAAAAACGGGCCGCCGUUGAGGCAUUGAAAAGGGAGGAAUUGGAGAGCAAAGUUGAACGUCUAAAUUGUUUAGUUAAUGUUUUAGCAGCUGAUAUGGUCGCCAACGAGAAUAGAGUUAAGAUAGCGUUAAAAACUUUUCAAACAAAGAACUCUGAACAUAGCUCGGAAAGAGGGGGCUACAGCGAAAAGGGAGAAGAAAACGUCAGAGAAAUGAAAACACUGGAAAGAAGAGAAGAGGAAAGAGAAGAGGAAGCAAUUCACUCAGAACGUAAUAGGAGAAUGAUUGAAAGCCAGAAUAUUCAACGUGGAAAUCCUUUAGGCAAGUCUUACAACAACAAAACAAUAACAGCAAUAAUAAUAAUAAUGCACAUUCUGUGUAUAGUUCUACAUUUAAUGGAUUCGUAUGAUCAAUUAAAAACAACUAUUUCUUCAACAUCUCACUUGGAUGGCGAUAAAAGUAUAGAAAGUGUUGCAAUCAUACCCGACGAAGUUGACGCCUCUCAUGAAUACAUUCAAAAACAAUUAGAAGAACUAAAUAGAAAGCAUUUGGAGGCGAAACUUAAAUUAGAUGGCUUACUUCAAGGCUAUAUCGAGGUGAAAGGUGAAAAUGGUCAGAAUUCCCCUCCAGUGUCUCCGAUUUUACCAGGUUCACCAUCAUCAUUACGCGUAAACGGAAGAUAG